GAUGAACGCUGGCGGCGUGCUUAACACAUGCAAGUCGAACGAAGCACUCUAUUUGAUUUUCUUCGGAAAUGAAGAUUUUGUGACUGAGUGGCGGACGGGUGAGUAACGCGUGGGUAACCUGCCUCAUACAGGGGGAUAACAGUUGGAAACGACUGCUAAUACCGCAUAAGCGCACAGGAUCGCAUGAUCCGGUGUGAAAAACUCCGAUGGUAUGGGAUGGACCCGCGUCUGAUUAGCCAGUUGGCAGGGUAACGGCCUACCAAAGCGACGAUCAGUAGCCGACCUGAGAGGGUGACCGGCCACAUUGGGACUGAGACACGGCCCAAACUCCUACGGGAGGCAGCAGUGGGGAAUAUUGCACAAUGGGGGAAACCCUGAUGCAGCGACGCCGCGUGAGCGAAGAAGUAUUUCGGUAUGUAAAGCUCUAUCAGCAGGGAAGAAGAA
rnacentral:rRNA from 1 species